GUGAGUGAGCAUGCAAGGGAGGGGCAGAGAGAGGGGAGGGAGAGAAUCCCAAGCGGGCUCCGCACUGACAGUGGGGCUCGAACUCGUGAACUGUGAGAUCAUGACCUGAAGCUGAAAUCAAGAGUUGGACGCUUCACCGAGACACCCAGGCACCCCUACUCUUUCUUUAAAUCCAAGCUUUCUGAAAGCAGUGCCUCGGUCAGUCAGGCUCAUUUUGCUUAGCACUUUUGCCUUAAAAACAAAAGAAAAGAAAACCUCUUGAAGUCCUAGGUAAUUACUUCAUGGGAAUGUGGUAUUUCUGGCCUUUCCAUAUCACCCCACGUGUUUUCCGGUGACAGGCUAUCCACCAAAAGAUUGUGGAUCCUCAUGGCCUGAGUCCACUCAAAUAACUGAAAUAACACACUGAAUUUUAGUUUAGAAUGCUCAGAUUUUUGAGUAAUUAAUAAAUGUAUGUUGGUAGGUCAAUUUCAUUUACCAAACAUUUAUUAAAUAUAUCUAUUGGUGGGGCUCCUGGGUGACUCAUGGGUUAAGCGUCCAACUUUCACUCAGGUCAUGAUCUCGUGGUCCGUGGGUUUGAGCCCCACGUUGGGCUCUGUGCUAACAGCUCAGAGCCUGAAGCCUGCUUGGGAUUCUGUGUCUCCCUCUUUCUCUCCUCCCCUCCCCCACUCACGCUCUGUCUCUCUCUCUUUCAAAAAUAAACAUUACAAAAAAUUUAAAAAAUCUAUUGGUGUACGUCACAGACAUUAAAUCAUCUGUGAACACUUUCACUAAAACAACUUUUUCAGCCUCUUGGGAUUUCAUUCUCAAACCCCAGGGAAUGCACAAUGUCAGCGGCAGGAGAGCAGGGACCUUGUCGUCUUUUCAACACCGCAUCCACGGGACAGGGUCUGGCACAUCGUAGGGGCUCCAGAAACGUUUGUCAAAUGAACAAAAAAGCCCAUGAGCACAAUUUAAUUUGGAUGCAUUCUAACAAGUGUUUUUAGCUGGUCUGAAGAGAAGUGACUGUUCUAAAAAAUUGAUUCAAGUGACUUUCAGUACACAAAGAGACUUGCCGCAGCAAUAAAUCCACUGGGGGCUCUUGCUUUGGUCUGCAUUUUGUCAGUCUUGUUCCGCCAAGAUUGUCGAUACAGGUGUGUGUGUGUGUGUGUGUGUGUGUGUGUGUGGUUUUUUUGGUUUGUUUUUGUUUUUGUUUUUGUUUUGUAUGUGAAAGUCUCUGAACCCUCUUAGGUAAGAAUGAACCUCGCCCAAACAAAGGCCUCUAAAUAAAUUUAAGGAUUUGACUUUGAAUCAAGUGCGGAAGUAGGUUUUCCUGCCUGAGGCAGCCUUGAUGAGGUACAUGGGAAGUCUAACUCCCAUCUGGAACAUCACGGGCUCCCGGCAAACAUGGCCGAACUACAUCUGUGGAAGAGCUGAGGGCAGACGUAGAGGAAGAGAUUUUUACCAAAGAAUGACCUCUUGGGUAACUUGAAAAAACAGUCCUAUUCUUAAGCCUCCUGUAAAACUGUCCCCAAACCUGAGUGAUUACAAGAAGAAUAGAAAACAGAUAAGGAUUGCUUUUAUCACAUGAUUAGUGCUCUAUCUUCAUGGACUUCUGAGACAGCGCUGUCUACCACAACCACCUUCACAGAUAUCUUCCUGUAACCCAUGAAGCACUGCCAUCUCUGAAGUCAAUUUCAACCCUUAGAGUGGCAACCUGGCCAGUGGAAAAGAGCGCCCUUAGGAGACCGACAAGGGACUUCGGAAUGCUGCCACAGGGUGGCAGUGCAGGGUAGUGGUGAAAACACCAGCCCUUUAAUCAGGGACACGAAGAUGAAGAAGGCACGGUUCCUGUCCUCAAGGACCUCGUAAUCCACAUGGAGGCAGAGCCAGGAGAGAGGUGCACGAGUAGACUGAGAUCCUCAAGGGGCCAGGAUGAAAUCAUCCGCAUCCUUGCAUAAGCUCGGUCCCUAGGCGUUAGCAGUGCUCACAGACGGUGCAUGGAGGAAUAAAUUAAGUCCGCAGAAAAAGACUUGAUAAGGAAGUAAAAGUUCCAGGGACAUAGCUGAACUUCAUCACUUAUGAACCUGUGACUUUCAGCGAGUUACUUAACCUCUCUGAGCCUCUGCUUCUCCUCCGGAAAAUGGAGAGGAUACUGCCUUUCCUCGCUAUAUUUCAGAACGGUGGUAAACAUCAAGUGUCAUGAUGACAAUUAAAAUGCUUUAUAAAACUGUGCAAUGUUUUAAGUUAGAAGAAUAUUCAAAGAGAGAGAUACAGAGAUUACCAAUGCUCUGUGGAGAGUGUGUUUCCUUUAGCUUAAGAACAGUUUUACAUGAAUCCCUGGUGAUUCUUCAUUCUAUAAUAUUAUCCGAGAAGCCGUAAGAAAGGACAGACCCACGAUCCUACCUUCACAUGUUGGUGGGGGACCUGUCCAAUGUCCAGAUGGAGCACAAUCCAAUAUUUCUGGUCCAGAUAAAGAGAAUCCUUCAUCACAGGUGAAUUGGCAUCUGGACUUAUAACUGGAAUCUCCAAGAGGCUGGACACAGGUCAUUGUUCCAUUCCGAGGGCUUAGCAGAGGUGUGCAGGUAAAGGCUACCCAGAGCAUGGUACAGGAGAGAAGGAUCAUUUUAGAACACGGCAACCUGACAUCAGCGU